CUCUUCCGAUCUAUAAUGAAAGUAAGAGGUGUGAAACUUUUGAAGUGUCAACAUCUGCCGAUCAUAAUUCUUUGAUGAAAGAUUCGAGUAUGAGCAUAUAGGGUGGGACCCGAAAGAUGGUGAACUAUGCCUGAGCGAGGCGAAGCCAGAGGAAACUCUGGUGGAGGCCCGAAGCGAUACUGACGUGCAAAUCGUUCGUCUGACUUGGGUAUAGGGGCGAAAGACUAAUCGAACCAUCUAGUAGCUGGUUCAUUCCGAAAUUUCCCUCAGGAUAGCUGCAACUUUUGAAAUAGUUUUAUGAGGUAAAGCGAAUGAUUAGAGGUUUCUGGGAUGGAAUAUCCUGGACCUAUUCUCAAACUUUCAAUGGGUAAGAAAUCGGGGAUGUUUAAUUAAUCUCUGAGUUUGAAUAUGAGUUGCAAGUGGGCCAUUCCGGGUAAGCUGGACUGGCAAUGCGGGAUCAACCGAACGCUAUGUUACGGUGCCUUAUUAUUCGCUCAGUUCGAUGUAAAAGGUGUUAGUUCAUCUAGACAGCAGGACGGUGGCCAUGGAAGUCGGAAUCCGCUAAGGAGUGUGUAACAACUCACCUGCCGAAUGAAGUAGCCCUGAAAAUGGAUGGCGCUAAAGCGAAUAACCUAUACAUAGCCAACACAAUUAGGAUUGUAUGGUGUUGAGUAGGAAUGCGUGAUGAAUGUUGUGAAGUAUAUCGUGUGAACGAAUAUGGAACAUUCAUUAGUGCAGAUCUUGGUGGAAGUAGCAAAUAUUCAAAUGAGAUCUUUGAAGACUGAAGUGGAGAAAGGUUCCAUAGGAAUAGUGAUUAUCUAUGGGUUAGUCGAUCCUAAGAGAUAAGUGAAAUCUGUUGAAAGUAUAACAUUUGGUUAUAAGUUAUCGAAAGGGAAUCAGGUUAAUAUUCCUGAACCAAAUAGUAUAAGAAACGGUAACGUAUAUUCCUCUUGAGACAUUUCUAUUAUUCCCAGGAAGAGUUUUCUUUUCUUGUUAACAAUAUUUGAGUGCUUGGAAUUAAUUCAGUUAGCGAUAAGCAUUGAAUAUUGGUAAAGUAGUAUACUAUUGUAUAUUAUCUGGUGCAAUGAUAGGGAUCCUUGAAAAUGAAGAGGUAAAAUCUUAGAAUAUUUGGUCGUACUAAUAACCGCAUCAGGUCUCCAAGGUGAAUAGCCUCUAGUUAAUAGAAUAAUGUAGAUAAGGGAAGUCGGCAAAUUAGAUCCGUAACUUCGGGAAAAGGAUUGGCUCUGAGGGCUAAGUGGAUAUGAGUGUUAGGUAUGUGUUGGUGUAGUGUUCGUGUUGUUUUUGAUGGCUUCGGUUGUUGAGAAUGACGCUUGCAUAGCAUCUACCCAUCCUGUCACUCUCCCACUAUGAAUAGCUAACUCAGAACUGGUACGGACAAGGGGAAUCCGACUGUUUAAUUAAAACAAAGCAUUGUGAUAGUGUGAAAGAUAUAUUGACACAAUGUGAAUUCUGCCCAGUGCUCUGAAUGUCAAAGUGGCGUAAUUCAACCAAGCGCGGGUAAACGGCGGGAGUAACUAUGACUCUCUUAAGGUAGCCAAAUGCCUCGUCAUCUAAUUAGUGACGCGCAUGAAUGGAUUAACGAGAUUCCCACUGUCCCUGUCUA
rnacentral:rRNA from 1 species